GCUUCACCAUAAACCAUGUUCUCUGUAGCUCUGCCGCUGCUGUUGGCAGCUGGAUCCUGUGUGAAGUGUGAACAGUUGACGCAGCCAGCCUCAGUGACUGUGCAGCCAGGUCAACGUCUGACCAUCACCUGUCAGGUCUCUUAUUCUGUUAGCAGCUAUUACACAGCUUGGAUCAGACAGCCUGCAGGGAAAGAACUGGAGUGGAUCGGAAUGAGAUAUACUGGAGGUUCAUACUACAAAGAUUCACUAAAGAACAAGUUCAGUAUCAACUUAGACUCUUCCAGCAACAGAGUGACUCUAAACGGACAGAAUGUGCAGCCUGAAGACACUGCUGUGUAUUACUGUGCCAGAUACCCACAAUAACAUAAACCAUCAGCAGACCUGAACAAAAACCCCUCAGUGCCUGAACACUUGUAACAUGAAGCCACCAGAGGAGGAGCCCUCAGACCACUAAUGAUUUCAACACCAGUUCACUGUUACAAAAAGGAAUGAAUAAACAGAAAGAAACCAUA